rnacentral:rRNA from 1 species
GAUUAAGCCAUGCAUGUGUAAGUAUAAAUAGUUAACUUUGAAACUGCGAAUGGCUCAUUAUAUCAGUUAUAGUUUAUUUGAUGAAGAAUACUAAUUGGAUAACCGUAGUAAUUCUAGAGCUAAUACAUGUAUAAAGUCUUGUAGACUGCAUUUAUUAGAAUGAAAACCAUAGGUUUCGGCCUAUUCGUGAGUAAUAAUAACUAAUCAUAUCGUAUGCUUAGUAACGAUGUGUCUUUCAAGUUUCUGCCCUAUCAGCUUUCGAUGGUAGUGUAUUGGACUACCAUG